UACGGAGGGGGCAAGCGUUGUUCGGAAUUACUGGGCGUAAAGGGCGCGCAGGCGGCUGCUCAAGUCAGGCGUGAAAGGCCUGGGCUCAACCCGGGAAUUGCGCUUGAGACUGGGCUGGCUUGAGUGCGGGAGAGGAUGGUGGAAUUCCGGGUGUAGCGGUGGAAUGCGUAGAGAUCCGGAGGAAUACCAGAGGCGAAGGCGGCCAACUGGGCUUGUUCUGACGCUGAGGUGCGAAAGCGUGGGGAGCAAACAGG
rnacentral:rRNA from 1 species